CUUGAGGUGACAGGGUCCUAAUCAAAACUACUUUUAAAGUUCUUUUGUUAACAUUAUUUUGAUCAGAGACGCUGCACUCCAAUGAUAGGGAGUUACAGAUAACAACAGAGUUGCCUGACUGUCAAGAGAAAACUCCAUGCCUUCCUUUCUACCCCACAGUGUUAAACAUGGUACUGGCAAUAUCAGUAGAAGCAAUGGUCAUCUGCAUCCUGAUUGGAACAACUAUCUUUUUUGCCAGGUCAAGGGCACACAGUUGGAGCUUAUAUUCUUGUCCUCUUCCGGCAAAUACUAUAUCUUUGGAAACACAAGAGGACGAUUUUACCUUAUUACCGGAUAGAGUUCAACUUCCUUCCUGCGAAAUGAAUGAAAAAUAAUUAAAAAAUAUCAACAUUUUACUCAACAAUGGCAAGAAUACGAGGGUCAUUCAAAAAUUACAUAGACAAUGUUCUUCAUCGUCAUAUUAUUAUUAAAAAAUUAUAAAUCAAAACAUUGUCUUAAAUAAAAACAUUUAUUUUGUCGAAAUGUGAAGUUUCAUUCAGUUCGAUCUAAUAGAACUCACGUAAGCCAAUUUUUAAAGCAACAUGUGUAUGUUUUGUUACCACAAAGCACGGCUAACCAACAUUGUAACGUCAGGCACAACGUCUAGAAAGUUUCUCAAAAUUACUCUGGCCUUAAAUUUCAUUCACGGUAUUAAACGUCUUCUCCGUUCAUAUAUAGUGUCCAUAACACUUAAACCUAGUUUGCUAACAAUUGUGCAAAUAACCUGAACUAGA